rnacentral:ncRNA from 1 species
GAUUGCAUCUUUUUUAUCAACCUCUCUGCAAUCGCGGCUG